AGCUAGUGAGGGAGAUGUGGGUCUCCAGCUUCAGUGAUUUUUGCAAUUCGUUCCAGUCAUUGGCAGCAGAGAAAUGGAAGGAAAGGCAGCCAAAAGAGGAAUUGGCUUUGGGGGCGACCAGUGAAAUAUACCUGCUGGAGCGCUUGCUACGGGUGGAUGCUGCUAUGGUGACCAGUGAGCAGAGAUAUGACAUUUAGUUCUGAUUAUUGCAUAUGUACAGCACUCAAAAGUAGACUGAUCGAUAUGAUGGUGAUGCAGAAAGGAAACAAUUUAUUGGGUACAUUACCACAACAACUACCAGGGUGACGCGUGAGGCUCAACUUCUCUGCUGUUUUGGUCCCGUGGCUACCACCCAAUGAACAGCAUGAAGAGAACCCCUGCACAUACUGAUACUGUGUUUGACUGUGUGAGAGCAAAGUCUACCUUUAAACAUAUGUAAUAAAAUAUAUUUUAAAAAGUG